UUUGGGCGUGUCUCCCUUCUCGGGAAACUCUCUCAACCCCNACGAACCCUUGACCUCAAAUCGGGUGAGACUACCCGCUGAACUUAAGCAUAUCAAUAAGCGGAGGAAAAGANAACUAACAAGGAUUCCCCUA
rnacentral:rRNA from 1 species